UGUGGCCUCAAAUCAGGUAGGACUACCCGCUGAACUUAAGCAUAUCAAUAAGCGGAGGAAAAGAAACUAACAAGGAUUCCCCUAGUAACUGCGAGUGAAGCGGGAAAAGCUCAAAUUUAAAAUCUGGCAGUCUUUGGCUGUCCGAGUUGUAAUCUAGAGAAGCAUUAUCCGCGCUGGACCGUGUACAAGUCUCCUGGAAUGGAGCGUCAUAGAGGGUGAGAAUCCCGUCUUUGACACGGACUACCAGGGCUUUGUGAUGUGCUCUCAAAGAGUCGAGUUGUUUGGGAAUGCAGCUCAAAAUGGGUGGUAAAUUCCAUCUAAAGCUAAAUAUUGGCGAGAGACCGAUAGCGAACAAGUACCGUGAGGGAAAGAUGAAAAGAACUUUGGAAAGAGAGUUAAACAGUACGUGAAAUUGCUGAAAGGGAAACGCUUGAAGUCAGUCGCGUUGUCCAGGGAUCAACUCUUGCUUUUGCUUGGUGUACUUUCUGGUUAACGGGUCAGCAUCAAUUUUGACUAUUGGAAAAAGAUCAAGGGAAUGUGGCAUCUUUAGAUGUGUUAUAGCCCUUGGUUGCAUACAUUAGUUGGGAUUGAGGAACUCAGCACGCCGCAAGGCCGAG
rnacentral:rRNA from 2 species